AGAGAAGGUACCGGAGCGAGUUUGAUUGAAGCUCCAAGCGAAACGAAGUAGAUGAGAACUCUGUAGGUGGUAGCUGCGACUUGCGAAGAAGAUGAGAAGAGAGGAACGAGUGAACGAUCGAUUAAGCGAAGCGGCGUUGUUGGCUGCAAGUGAGGCCGUGUUGGUAUGGCUUGCGCUCUGCGUGUUUGCUCUGGAGAAGGACACAUCUUCAUUCUUUUGGUAUGGGUUGUUCGCUCGACACAGUGAGAGAAAAAGAGAGACAAAGAAAAGUUAUCCAGUCGCUGGGAUAGGAAGAAGAAGAAGAAGAGACGUCCAAGAUUUUGGUCGACUUUCCGAGCAAAGUUUGGGUUUGUUUCGGAGAAGGUUGUUGCUAGAAUUUUGAUCGAGUUUGGGAGGAAGCUUACAAUAGCCGUGUUCUUCGGGAAGCAUCUGUUUACACCGACCUCCACUGUUACACCCAAAUACCCAAAUCGUUGAUCCCAAUCGUGACACUACCAAUUCUUCGGUGUCGUCUACAGCUGUGUGAGAUGGUUGCAUUCUAUUCAAUCUUGAGCAUCAGAGCGCGAAUCAUCUAUUCCAUAAAAGGUCUACUGUAGGAAAUCAAAUUGUCAAGAAAAAAUUAUUUUGUAGCCUGAAGUAUAUUGUGGUGGUAUUAGGAAGACUGAGGUGAAGAUUGCAGAUUCUGCAGAUAUUGAAUCAAAUUCACUGUUCACUGCAGAUUUUUCAACAUAUGAUAGUGUUUAUAAAGUCAGAUUUCUAUAUGCAGCUGUACUGGUACAUUCAAGAAUCGGCAAGAAUCAUCAAGUUUUUCAUCAAGAUGAGGUGAACAUUGUGCCUAAUCAGAUUCAAGUUUGAAUGUUCUCUAGCUUGACGUCAAAUGCAUCUGUAUGCUGAGAGUUGGAGUGUUUUUGCAAGGUCUGAUGGCUGAAUUUGUUGGUUGUUAGAAAUCAGAACGAGCUUCAGAUCUGAAUGUUGGUCACCCAUCUACUGUGGAGGUGGCUACGAGUUGACCAUAGUACGAGUGGUAAGGUAUGAAAUUUCAAUAUGUUCUAAUCCUAUAACUGAAAAAGUGAAAAAUUUUAACAGACCCGUUUUCAAUCUGCAUCUCCUCUUUUAAUUUGAAUCUAGAAUCUCCUCCCUGCUUCUCUGAAAAUCAAAUGAUCAAGAAACUGAAAACUUGAUUAUAAAUAUCAUUACUUCGUCGAAGCUCAAAAAUUCUAAAGCACACAUCGCCUUGUAGUAGUAAUCUAAUGCUUGGCAAGCACUACAAGACUUGUGAGUACCUUCCAUGUUGAAAUCUCAACUGAUGGUGGUUUUACGAAAUUUGAAAAAUUCCCAGCCAGUUGAUACAAGAUGGGCUUCAAUUGCAUGCUGCUACUUGUUGGUUUUCCAUGUUAUAUUGAAAUAUUUGCUAAGCAUAUUAAUUAUUUCUUGGGAGCAAGAGAAUCACAGGGGCAUGCAAUGAGUAUCAGAAUGAAUAUACACAUACACAUGAGGAGUGGGGACUAAUGUAAUGGCUGUGCAUGUUAAUUAUUGAGAGUAUCAGAGACUCAGAGCAUGCAUUGAGAAUUAUUAAUGAAAUAUCAAGAUGCAGCUCCAUAAAAGAGUCAAAUCCAUAAAUCCAUUUCCUGUAUCGUAACUAGCUAUCAUCUAUCACAAGGUGAAUGCAAAAUGUGCCUGAGAUCUCAAUUAAGAACCACACGUAAUUUUUUUUAUUUUAUUUUUAUUUUUUAGUUUGAUGAUCCUUCACAAAGUGAAUGCAGAUAGAGCAUGAUUUUUUGGUUUUUUUUUUUUGACAACUUGCCUCAAACAAACUACAGCACCCUGGAAAACAUGCCAAGCUGGCGUGCAGGUUUCACAUCUCUGUGACAUAGUCGGAAACUAAGUUAUUUUGGUUAAAAUUUUAAAGAAAACUAAGAAAAAUUUUGGAAUUGUAGAGGUUGAUCUUGAGGAAUGGAAUUCCUUCCCAUCAUAAAAAGAAAAAUCAACACUAGAACGGCUUUUGUUUGUAGUUGUGUGUUUUGUUCUUUCUUCUAUGGAAAAAAAAAAUCAACACUAGAGCAGCUGCUGUAAAGGCCUUACUUUUGUGUAUUAGGAAUAACACUGUUAAACAGCGACAAGUGUGGCCCGUGGCCCACCAUUGUACGAUACUGUCCCAACUUAACCACUGGAUAGGUGUUGAGUUUUAAUCACAAAAGGCCUCGGUACAAUUAGGUGAGAUCCACCCACUUAUAAGUUAUAUUUUAUUUUGUCACUUUUCCAAUGUGGGAUAUUUCCUCUCCAACACGCCCCCUCACGUGCAACCUAACUCUAGGUCUGCACGUGAAAUUAAUUAAUCCAAUUCCCACAUUGGAAAUUGGGACACAAGUCUCAUAUCGGAGACUUGGUCAAUACAAUCCAAGGCCCACAUUAGACACUUGGUAAUUUCGAUGACAAUACAAGGAACCCCAAUUUGGGCUCAUGACUACGUGGAGACGCAAUUGGAGAAGGACCCGCUCUGAUACCAUGUUAAACAGCGACAAGUGUAGCCCGUGGCCCACCAUUGUACCGAUACUGUCCCAACUUAACCACCGGAUAAGUGUUGGGUUUUAAUCACAAAAAGUCUCGGUACAACUAGGUGAGAUCCACCCACUUAUAAGUUAUAUUUUAUUUUGUCACUUUUCCAAUGUGGGGUCUUUCCUCUCCAACAAACACUAGGUAACGAAUCCGCGCGAUGCUGCGGGAAUAAGUUUUUAUAUGUAAUAAACGUUAACUAAAGAUUUUUUUUUUUUUUUUGUGAAAACAAAAUGUUAUUGUUUUACAUAUUAUGUUGUAGAAUUGUGAAAAAAAUCUUAUUCAUGAAAACUCAAACCAUCAUAUUUUGUUCGUCCAUACGCAAUCUCCACUUUCAUUUUGAUACAUAGUUGAAUAGUAGAUUCUCACAUAUAGACAGUUAGACACAUUUCAUUAAAUAGAAGUUAUGAGUAGGAGUGAGUAUUUUAACAAAGUUUGUUUAUUUACUUUUUUUACCGUUUUAAAAAUAUUGCAAUUAGUGACAAAAGUGUCAAAGAGUAUAGCAACCAAAUUUGUGAUUCGAUUCUCACUCACAUAUAUAAGGGUGGGGUGGGCUAAGAAUUAAAAAAAUAAAAAAUAAAAAAGUUGCAAUUAGGGAAGAAAGUGUCAAAAGAAAAGAAAAUUGAGGGCAAAAUGGGUAUCUCACUAUUCAUUGAACAGUGAUCCCCCCAUUUUCCUUUAGAGUGUGUUUGGAUGAGGGAAAAAAAUGAUGGAAUUUAAUUGAAAGUGAGGAUUUCAUAAUUCCUACAAACUAAUUCCCUCGUUUGGCAUUAUCAUAUUGGAAAUUUUAAAUUUCUCUGUGGACAAAAACGAAGGAAUUCAUUAUUUAAAUUCCCCACUUCAAUUUCCAUCAAAAUAGGCGUUAUUUACGAAUUCCUUUACAAUAUUCAAGUUUCAUUUCUAAAACAAGGCUUUUUUCUAUUUUAUUUUUUUAUUUGUUUUAAACUUUCUUAAUUUAUUACACAUUUCAAAUCCUAAAUAGAUACAACCAAACAAUAGAAAUUGCAAUUAAUGGAAUUUUAGAUUAAUGGAGUUAAAGAUUUCAUCAUUUAUAAAUUCCUACAAAUUUCAUAAUUUUCUCAUCCAAACGCACCGUUAGUAUAAUUACUAGAAAGAACGCCAUCGCUUUGCUGCUGGAACUAUUGUUAUAUGUUAUUGGAAUAACUGAAAUUUAUUUAACUGAGGUUUAUAUGUUUUGUUGAAAUUUACAGAUUUGGUUUGGUUUGAAUUUAUUGAUUCUGGUGGAGAAAUACGUGUAACUUGUUUUAAUCAUCAGGUGAAGAAUUCGGAGGUGUACGUAGCCUUUGAGGUCGGUACUGCUUUUGAAUUUUUUAGCUGCAUGAUUAGAACACGUUACACGAAUUUCUCACCGAAAUUAAUAACUUCAAAUCAAACUUGGUAUGUAUAGUUUAAUGAUGCUAUAAAUAGAAGACAAUAAUGAGAAGUGCUUGAUGGAUGUUGGCUUGAAAAUUUGAGGUUUUGUGACUUGUUGUUCCACCAAUCUCACUGAAAAUUGAUACAGAUUAUGAUCCAGUCCCUACAAUGUACAUUUGACAAAAUUUAUUAAGCAUGAAGGGCUAUCUAUGAUAUGACUGCAAUUUAUGAAGUGAGGAAUGAUGGUGAUUGAUUUGUAUAGUGAAUGAUUAUGCUAACCUUGGAGCACAACUUCUUAAGCUUUGAAAUCUGUGUCUCUAGGAGUUUUAAAAAUCUGGUCUUCUGAAUUUCUUGAAUAUAACCAUUCUUCAAGGGCUAAAUACGUAGAAAACAAUGGAUUAGAUUUUCUGUGGCUAAAGUGAGAUAAAGAAAAAAGAAAUGGUAACAACAAUAUUAAUGAAUGGAUAGAUAAAAUUUGACAAUAUCUGAGUAAAA